rnacentral:rRNA from 1 species
AGUUUGAUCCUGGCUCAAAUUGAACGCUGGCGGCAUGCUUUACUCAUGCUAGUCAGACGGAAGCACACAGAAUCUUGCUUCUUGGGUGGCGAGUGGCGAACGGAUGUAGAUAAUAUAUCGGAAGCAUACCGAGUAGUGCGGGAUAACUAAUCGAAAGAUUAUCUAAUACCGCAUAUUCUCUGAGGAGGAAAGCAGGGGACCUUCGGGCCUUGCGUUAUUCGAGCGGCCGAUAUCUGAUUAUCUAGUUGGUGGGGUAAAGGCCUACCAAGGCGACGAUCAGUAGCGGGUCUGAGAGGAUGAUCCGCCACACUGGGACUGAGACACGGCCCAGACUCCUACGGGAGGCAGCAGUGGGGAAUUUUGGACAAUGGGCGCAAGCCUGAUCCAGCCAUGCCGCGUGUCUGAAGAAGGCCUUCGGGUUGUAAAGGACUUUUGUCAGGGAAGAAAAGGCUGUUGCUAAUAUCGACACCUGAUGACGGUACCUGAAGAAUAAGCACCGGCUAACUACGUGCCAGCAGCCGCGGUAAUACGUAGGGUGCGAGCGUUAAUCGGAAUUACUGGGCGUAAAGCGAGCGCCGACGGUUACUUAAGCAGGAUGUGAAAUCCCCGGGCUCAACCUGGGAACUGCCUUCUGAACUGGGUGACUAGAGUGUGUCAGAGGGAGGUAGAAUUCCACGUGUAGCAGUGAAAUGCGUAGAGAUGUGGAGGAAUCCCGAUGGCGAAGGCAGCCUCCUGGGAUAACACUGACGUUCAUGCUCGAAAGCGUGGGUAGCAAACAGGAUUAGAUACCCUGGUAGUCCACGCCCUA